rnacentral:rRNA from 1 species
UAGUCCACGCCGUAAACGAUGGGUGCUAGCCGUCAGGCCGUCAAGGUUUGGUGGCAACGCUAACGCAUUAAGCACCCCGCCUGGGGAGUACGGUCGCAAGAUUAAAACUCAAAGGAAUUGACGGGGACCCGCACAAGCGGUGGAGCAUGUGGUUUAAUUCGAAGCAACGCGAGGAACCUUACCAGGACUUGACAUGCCGGUCGCGCUUUUCAGAGAUGAAUUGCUUCAGUUUGGCUGGACCGUGCACAGGUGCUGCACGGCUGUCGUCAGCUCGUGUCGUGAGAUGUUGGGUUAAGUCCCGCAACGAGCGCAACCCUCAUCCUUAGUUGCUAACAUUUAGUUGAGAACUCUAAGGAAACUGCCGGAGUUAAUCCGGAGGAAGGUGGGGAUGACGUCAAGUCUUCAUGGCCCUUAUGUCCUGGGGCUACACACGUGCUACAAUGGUGGUGACAAUGGGCAGCGACAUCGUAAGGUGAAGCUAAU